rnacentral:sRNA from 1 species
ACCGAGUGCCGCUCACGCCCGGU